rnacentral:rRNA from 1 species
GGAUGCGAUCAUACUAGCACUAAAGCACCGGAUCCCAUCCGAACUCCGAAGUUAAGCGUGCUUGGGCGAGAGUAGUACUAGGAUGGGUGACCUCCUGGGAAGUCCUCGUGUUGCAUUCC